UAUGAAAAACGAAACUCGUUCAAAAUAACGCGUAUUCGUUAAAUUGCGAUUAGGAAAAACGAUUGUAGUAGCACUAAAUCGUCAAAUUGCGAUUAAGAAAAACGAGAAUCGUAAAAAUGACGAUACUCGUAUUUUUAUUUACGAGUGCCUUCAGCUCUCGUUCAGCUUUCGUUGUCAUUUAUUUUUUUGUUUUCGUUUGGUUGAUGGUUGGUUUUUGUUUUGGUGAGCAAAAAAAUGCCUACAACUAAUGCUAAGCAGUUGGAUUUGCUGGUAGCUUUUAUGGAAACCAAUCCAAAUAUAGCAAAAAAUUACUUGCCGACGAGCCAAGCCAAGAUUUUAGAACGCCUAUCGUCCUCUCAACAAUAUUCCUGCAUUUAGAAUGAAUAGUAUUAAAAUGCUCUUCUCGACCUCCUUCUUGCGUAGUUCGGUAGGGAGUCAUCAUUCACGGUUCCAGAGUGUACCCAGAAUCACCUAAACCAAUUAUAAAACAUCAAACGUUUUGAGUGAAUUUAGCAUCUACGUACCCAACAACCAACUUCUCCUAUCACCAUCAUUCCAUUUCUGCUCAAGGUGUCUGCGAUAGGCGCUUAAACUGAAGACAAAUGAGUCAUGGGACGCUCCUCCAUAACGGGCGUCAAUAGCGCGGAUUCUCAUUUUGUAAUCACAGACCUUUGGAAAGUAAAAAGAAUUGUUUAAAAA